rnacentral:rRNA from 1 species
AGUACGCUCGCAAGGGUGAAACUCAAAGGAAUUGACGGGGGCCCGCACAAGCGGUGGAGCAUGUGGUUUAAUUCGAUGCAACGCGAAGAACCUUACCAGGGCUUGACAUACUACAAAUUCUUUUGAGAAAAAGAAGUGCCUUCGGGAAUGUAGAUACAGGUGGUGCAUGGCUGUCGUCAGCUCGUGUCGUGAGAUGUUGGGUUAAGUCCCGCAACGAGCGCAACCCUUAUUUUUAGUUACUAAUUCGUUAGGUUCUCUAGAAAGACUGCCGGUGACAAACCGGAGGAAGGUGAGGAUGACGUCAAGUCAGCAUGCCCCUUAUGUCCUGGGCUACACACGUGCUACAAUGGUUAAGACAAAGAGUCGCGAGCUCGUGAGAGUCAGCUAAUCUCGUAAACUUAGCCUAAGUUCAGAUUGUAGGCUGCAACUCGCCUACAUGAAGUUGGAAUCGCUAGUAAUCGCAGGUCAGCCAUACUGCGGUGAAUCCG